GAUGAACGCUGGCGGCGUGCCUAAUACAUGCAAGUCGAGCGAACGGACGAGAAGCUUGCUUUUCUGAUGUUAGCGGCGGACGGGUGAGUAACACGUGGAUAACCUACCUAUAAGACUGGGAUAACUUCGGGAAACCGGAGCUAAUACCGGAUAAUGUUUUGAACCGCAUGGUUCAAAAGUGAAAGACGGUCUUGCUGUCACUUAUAGAUGGAUCCGCGCUGCAUUAGCUAGUUGGUAAGGUAACGGCUUACCAAGGCAACGAUACAUAGCCGACCUGAGAGGGUGAUCGGCCACACUGGAACUGAGACACGGUCCAGACUCCUACGGGAGGCAGCAGUAGGGAAUCUUCCGCAAUGGGCGAAAGCCUGACGGAGCAACGCCGCGUGAGUGAUGAAGGUCUUCGGAUCGUAAAACUCUGUUAUUAGGGAAGAACAUAUGUGUAAGUAACUGUGCACAUCUUGACGGUACCUAAUCAGAAAGCCACGGCUAACUACGUG
rnacentral:rRNA from 1 species